rnacentral:rRNA from 1 species
GCGGCAUCUAUACAUGCAAGUCGAACGCUUCUUUUUCCACCGGAGCUUGCUCCACCGGAAAAAGAGGAGUCGGCGAACGGGUGAGUAACACGUGGGUAACCUCGCCCAUCAGAAGGGGAUAACACUUCGGAAACAGGUGCUAAUACCGUAUAACAAUCAAAACCGCAUGGUUUUGAUUUGAAAGGCGCUUUCGGGUGUCGCUGAUGGAUGGACCCGCGGUGCAUUAGCUAGUUGGUGAGGUAACGGCUCACCAAGGCCACGAUGCAUAGCCGACCUGAGAGGGUGAUCGGCCACAUUGGGACUGAGACACGGCCCAAACUCCUACGGGAGGCAGCAGUAGGGAAUCUUCGGCAAUGGACGAAAGUCUGACCGAGCAACGCCGCGUGAGUGAAGAAGGUUUUCGGAUCGUAAAACUCUGUUGUUAGAGAAGAACAAGGAUGAGAGUAACUGUUCAUCCCUUGACGGUAUCUAACCAGAAAGCCACGGCUAACUACGUGCCAGCAGCCGCGGUAAUACGUAGGUGGCAAGCGUUGUCCGGAUUUAUUGGGCGUAAAGCGAGCGCAGGCGGUUUCUUAAGUCUGAUGUGAAAGCCCCCGGCUCAACCGGGGAGGGUCAUUGGAAACUGGGAGACUUGAGUGCAGAAGAGGAGAGUGGAAUUCCAUGUGUAGCGGUGAAAUGCGUAGAUAUAUGGAGGAACACCAGUGGCGAAGGCGGCUCUCUGGUCUGUAACUGACGCUGAGGCUCGAAAGCGUGGGGAGCAAACAGGAUUAGAUACCCUGGUAGUCCACGCCGUAAACGAUGAGUGCUAAGUGUUGGAGGGUUUCCGCCCUUUCAGUGCUGCAGCUAACGCAUUAAGCACUCCGCCCUGGGGAGUACGACCCGCAAGGUGAUAGAGAAUACGGGGAGGAU